GCUAGGCAGGACUCACAGGCAUUCUAAACAAGCACAAGGCCACUUGUUGAGGGCUUCUUUUCUGCAUGAUACCUUGCAGUCCACUAUUUUUACAUGCUUAUUGGGGAAUUCGCAUUUGAAUAUCAGGAUGCGUGCGAAUGGCCUGGAGGCCAACAUCCUCCCUCUCAUGCUGCAGAGAUCCUUAAAGCGUCCGUGCUCCUCCCUUGAUUCGCUUCAGCUGUUGAAACGGCGAGGGGAGCAGCUCGCAGCAUUGCGUACUUCAGCACAGAUAAAGCCCUGUGAACCUCUGAUCAUGCAUUUGGAGAUACCAGAAGAACUGGAGGUGAUUUAUGACAGCACAGGUACUGCUGG